ACCAUUUUUGUGCUCAAUUAAUGACAAUUAUAGCCACCUUUAAUACAUUAAAGAGUCCCAAUUUAUUUUUUCUAAUCCUUUAAUCUCAAUCAUGAAUCAAGAUGGAUCCAACGGCUGAGAUCACACAAAACCUAAUCCUACUAUUCUCUCAACAGCCGCAUCUCUCUCUCCCUCUUCCUCUCUCUUCUUUCUUUCUCUAUCAAAUAGCAAAGGCUGCCGCCGGCCACCACCACGCCGAUCAUCGUGGCUGGUGAGACACCGGAGCAAUCGCGACCCAUCGCUGACCUCCUCUCUCUGCUCUCCUGUUUCCAGCCGUGGCUCCAGCCGGCGGAACUAUCAAGAACCGUCGCCAACGUCGCUACCCACCAGCCACGGUCCUUUUAAGAUGUCAUAUAGGAUCUCAACAAUAGGUAUUACUAUGUUUCAAUCGCGAACUAUUGGGUUUGGGUAUGUGCAGCUUCUUAAAUUGAUUCAUUUUUUUCUGACGGUCAGCUAAACUUGACUAAAUAGUAAACUAAAACAGGUAGAAUUUGGAUUGUCGUGUCAAUGAUUGUAUAACUUAGCUGGUGAAUUC
rnacentral:lncRNA from 1 species